rnacentral:rRNA from 1 species
GUCCCGCAACGAGCGCAACCCCUGUGAUCUGUUGCCACCGGCGCAAGCCGAGCACUCUGAUCAGACUGCCCUGUGAAACGGGGAGGAAGGUGGGGACGACGUCAAGUCAGUAUGGCCCUUACGGCCAGGGCUGCACACGUACUACAAUGCUCAGGACAGAAUGAACCGAAACCGCGAGGUGGAGGAAAUCCCUAAACCUGAGCUCAGUUCGGAUUGAAGGCUGCAACUCGCCUUCAUGAAGCCGGAAUUGCUAGUAAUGGCGCAUCAGCUACGGCGCCGUGAUACGUUCCCGGGCAUUGUACACACCGCCCGUCACAUCAUGGAAGUCGUUUGUA